UACGGGGGGGGCAAGCGUUGUUCGGAAUUACUGGGCGUAAAGGGCGCGUAGGCGGUUUGGAAAGUCAGAUGUGAAAGCCCAGGGCUUAACCCUGGAACGUCAUUUGAUACUGCCAGACUAGAGUGCGGAAGAGGCAGUCGGAAUUCCUGGUGUAGCGGUGAAAUGCGUAGAUAUCAGGAGGAACAUCGGUGGCGAAGGCGGACUGCUGGGCCGACACUGACGCUGAGGCGCGAAAGCUAGGGGAGCGAACGGG
rnacentral:rRNA from 1 species